AAGAAAUCCAGCCCCUUUUCUUUUGAUAGUGAUGCAAACAAACAAGAUGGCGGCAUUUCAAAAAGGCGGAACAUUUGGGUCUGAGAUACUCUACACGCAGUCCUCCAAACAACCCUGCCCCAACAAGCCGGGAAACUAUCACAAAAGGAGAAAUGAUGGUGCCUAUGCGUUCAGGGUGCAACCCCUAAGCCCAUGUUUCUGAACACGGUAGGAUCAGCUCAGUGAAGAACACAAAGAUGAUGCAUAAAGCAGAAGACACAUCAAUCUUUCCCACUAUGGCUAACACCUGGAUCAUGACAUGCAUGUCUGAAAAAACAAACAAGUCAUUAGACAAGACGUAUACAACUUUACACAGGCAUAUGCCUUUCCUAUUUCCAGAGAUGCUCGAUUCAGUCAAUAUUGUACUUGUUGUGUUACCAGGAGCAUGAUGCCACAUAACAUCAGUGCAGAGCAGAUACAUGUGGGUCGUGGCACACGAUUAACCAGCACUCAAGUGGCUCCAUACACCACAAUGUCAAUAACUGAAAUGAAGCAGGUGAUGUAGCCUAGACAUUUCCAUUUAGGUUACUAGCAUUGAGAGAGAGCCCAAAGAAGACCAUGGAGGUAGCAAUCCUGCAGAAAUACAAGGACGAAAAGGUCUGAAUGAAGGUGAAAUGUUACAUGUUACAGGCACUAUGUUACAUUAAUGCAGUGCUUUCACUUUAACUAUGCUUUAUUGUGUAUUGUGCCCCAGCUCAGGCUGACGACAAGUUCAUUUUACAGUUUUCAAGUUGUUUUUGUUUUAUAAUUAAAGGGACAAUUUGUUAUCCCACUGAAAAUAAAAACAGUUUGGAGAAUGA